rnacentral:rRNA from 1 species
UACGUAGGGUGCGAGCGUUAAUCGGAAUUACUGGGCGUAAAGCGUGCGCAGGCGGCUUUGCAAGACAGAUGUGAAAUCCCCGGGCUCAACCUGGGAACUGCAUUUGUGACUGCAAGGCUAGAGUACGGCAGAGGGGGAUGGAAUUCCGCGUGUAGCAGUGAAAUGCGUAGAUAUGCGGAGGAACACCAAUGGCGAAGGCAAUCCCCUGGGCCUGUACUGACGGUCAUGCACGAAAGCGUGGGGAGCAAACAGG